rnacentral:lncRNA from 1 species
UCGGGCUGCUGGGCAGAGUCCCUUCCCUACUUCCUGCCAUUUCUAUUUGGAAAAAUGAAGUAACCAACUCUGCCUGUUUGUUAUUAUUGUAGAUAUUACACAUCUCACGUUGUGCACAGCCCAGUGACAGAUGAAGUAAGAACCACACAGUUACCAGAACCCCCGCUGGAUUUCCCCCUUUCCUAGCUACUCACCGCAUGAGACAGAACAUCGCCCGGCAGAGUGUGCAACCUUCCCCUCCAGGAAAAGCCCUUUUUUAUUCUCCUACAGAGGCACAGAAUAAGUCUGUCAUGCUGCCCCUCUGAGUGCACGGGUCUCCAAGACUCGGCUCCACCUGUGCCGUCGCCCCUGACCUCUCCCUGUGCCGCCAUCUUUCUUUCCAAGCCAGAGGAAAACGCCCUUUCUGUCCGUUCUUCACACGCUCCCACCUCUGCGUGUGCACUGGAUGCUUUGCAUCCCCUUUUGCCGUUUCUUCUGCUGCCUGGCUCCAGUCUGACCUCCGUCCACAUCCAGGUCAAAUGUAACCUCCUCCCGGAAGCGCCUCCCUGGAGCCGUGCAGGUCGGAUCCCAGAUCUCUUCAGCAUCAGGACCCGUUCGGCAUCUAAGGCGCUGUCUCAGGACCGACCGACUUGGUACCCGCCUUCUGCUUGCUCUGUAUUAUUGCAGAUCUGUUUAGGCAACAGAGUUCCAAGUUUGAAAAAAACAUCUCUAAACCCAAUCUCUCUUUUCCGGCCUCUUACAGCUAGGGGUGGUCACGUGACACAGUAAAUUAAAAACCUAAUCAGCUCCCCCUUGCCAUCCCAAUUGGACUUUUAUUUUUUCCUGCGUACGAUACUAGCUAAUAAAAUUCCAAUUGGUUUUAAAAUCUAAGCUUUCAUAAUAAAGUAAAUCAAUUUCAGAAAGAGUUGACGAUGCUCUUUCCCCGGCAGCAGUAAAUCAACAGAUUUUGUUGGGUGUUAGAAGAUGGCUCAAGGAAUUGAAUUCGAUACCGUGCAAAGCUGGGAAUGUUUAUAAGAAUACCGGUGUUUUCCUCGGCAGUAGUUUUGUAUGAAUAUUCAUGACUGACUUGUUCUCGUCUGUGUUAAUAUAAAUCUGCCCUUGGAAGAACAAUUUGAACAAAGUGGUCUUGUGAGACUCCACAGACAUUAGAAAUUAUUCCAUGUCUUAUGAAAAUGUUCUCCAAAUAAAACGGCUGUGCUGUCGUACUCGAUUUCUUGCUCUGGCGAUGUGGAUACCGUAACUGACAUCUUGGUUUUCCCUAGUUAUAUACCUCUUCUCUUCCACCACACGAACCAUGGAGAACUAAAAUCCCUGCCUCUGCUAGACUUGGUCAUCAAGCAAAUAUUCCGAAAGCCUCUGAUUGCUUAAAACCAAGAGGCUGCUUGCCGGAGGUGUUAGGAAGUUCAUUU